GGAGCCUCCCCGCUGCCGGCCCGGGGGCGGCCCGGUGUCCCCGCAGCCCCAGAGCCGCCCGGCCGCCAGCAGGGCGCGCUGCCCCCGGUGCGCGGGGAGCCGUGGCCGCAGCACGGCUAGUCCGCCCGCCCGGCCCCUCCUUACCCGAGACACUCGAUGGUUGGAGCCCGAUAUACAGCGUUGUAAACCUCCGAACUGCGCAACAGCUAAGGGGGGCUUGAGCUGCCACCUUUCUGACCCUAAAAAAGAAAGAAAAAAAGAACCCUAUGCAGAAAAGCCUGUUUAUGUACAUUUUCCUAAGCUACAGUCACUAAGGAGCAGCUAAGCUCCAGCCCCAACACCGUGACUCAACCGGGGCUGUACCACCCUAUCAUAAGAGUCACCUCAAACCAUCUGCGACUCACUUCCCCAGUCUUUCUGGACCAGCCACAGCAGAGCCUGGGAAGGAAUUCCGCCGGUGAUUCUCAGAGGUAAUUUUGAAAGAGGAACGGGACCUUUACAUGAGAAAUAGUUGACAGCCACAGAAAGGAGAGAACCGAUGCAGGUGGAACAGAGCCAUUCCUGAUGAGAGUGGUGAAAGUUGCUGAUCAACCAGAUGUGACCAAAUGGACUUUUUGUGUCGAAACUGCCAGAGCCUUCAAACUCCCCAAGCAUCACCAAUAUACAGCCAUCCUGACAAGCACAGUAAACUACUCCGUACAUUCCCCACCCAGACCAGCUUUAUGGGCAAGCCACAAAAUUAAUUGCUUCAGGCUCUGGGGUGUAGAACAGAGGCACCUUGCCAACUUCAGUAGCAGUACAAGACCUUCAGUGUGCAGGUGGUGCGUCUUCAGCCCAGAGACCUGACAAGCCUAACUCCAUCUCUGUGGCUGCUGUUUCUCCAGCAUUUCUCGUCAACUGUGACAAGACUCUGAAGAUGCAGUAACAUCUUUCCUCCUCCUCCAGCCCAACAGUAUGGUCGACAUUGGAUUGUCAGUUAUGCUGAAUUAUACUGGAUCACUUGUGGUUMUGCACUGAUGUAGACAAAUACCAAUUCAAGAUCAAGGGUGAACCCUGGCCACUAAACUUGUUUCACUUGUGACUCAUUCCAGACUUAAGACCUGGCUCUUGCUGUCAUUUUAUUAACUCAAUUUGUGAUCUUCCUAACCCCCAUUAUCCAACCCAGGCAGAUUAUUUGCUUUGAAAAAAUGUGUAGAUAGUUUCCAUGCGAAUCAUAAGUAGAUCCAGGUGCCAUAGCUAGGUUCCAGAGAGAGCUGUAGUCAUGAGAUAUACGUACUGGUCAAAUAACUUCUUUCCUAGACACUCUUAAACUCAGUGACAUUCUCCUCAUUUAGAUAGUCUGGACUCUUAACUCCUGAAAAGCGGCAAGAAGCCUGGCACCAGUCUGGUAGAAUACCUAAGUACAUACCUUCAGGCACGUGUGUGGUCCUGAGAUCAGCAAGAGUAAAUUUAAGCAUAAAGUUAAGCACAUACUAAGAUGUACUCUUACUUUGGAGUCAAAAAAGUUACCUGUCUUAAGCCACCCCCAGCAAGUCUUUACAUCUGGUCCAAACUAAAGCAUCCAAGUCAAAAAAAUAGCUUGCUGAAUUCCAGAGAAUUCAUAAUUUCCAGUUUGCAAGCUUGAGGAGAGAAAUCUAGGAAGCAUCAAUAAAUCCACUUUGACAACAGAGUAAAGAGCUGCA
ensembl:lncRNA